rnacentral:tRNA from 1 species
AAUUCCCACUCGGAUACUAACCGAGACCAGUGACUUGAAGAACCACCAUUGU